GAUAGGAAGAGGUGAUGCUAGUGGUGUUUUCACUAGAAAGAACAUUAAAAAUACAAUUUUGCCCCUAAAUGUGAUAGAAAAUGUAAUGCAAGGACCAACGAUGGUAAUGGAAGUGGAGUUGACUCAGUAAUUUUGUAUAUUCAAGGACCAAAAUGCAAAUUGGGUACAAAUUCAAGAAUUAUUGCAUCUAAAAACCCUAUAGAAUUGUGCGGUCUGUUGUAAAUAUAUAAGGUGGAGCCCACCUCCAUUAGAAGAUGCUUGCCUAUAAAUAAGGCUUCCCCCUACUUGUAAUACACACACACAUGAGAUUGGAAACAAACAUUGAGGGCUCGUUUGUUUCACCUUCUUAGCUUAAGAUUGGAUUGGACAAAUUUUUAUCCCUUGUUUGUUUUCAUUUGGUUCUAGUUUUAAGUGGGACUGUUAAUACUGGCCUCACCAAAAACACCUCCUUAGGUGUUCUUAGUGAGACCCGUGUGGAAAGGGAGGACUAGCCUUCGCUGGCGUUCGUUUCCUUAUCACACUCCGCACCCAAGCGCAAGCAACCAGCCACAACCACCGACCGCCCAAGCAACCAAGAGCCAGCAGACCCGCCGAACUUGCCGCAACCACCAAGAGCCAAUAGACCCACCCACCACAGAUGCUUUCUCUCUCCUUCAGCCACAACCCAGAUAUUCGCCAGAUUUGUCAAGGCCACUACAUCAUCGUUCCCAAUCAGCCAUAACCCAGUCGAAAUUCAAAGAAAAAACACCGCACACAAACCCACUGCAUCAUCGAUGUGCCCCUCUUCCUCAACUCCGUUUCUCUACUUCUCUUUGCAAAGUCAAAAAACAAAUUGCAAAACAGAAAAGAAACAUAAAUGCUUUCAAAAAUAGAACUAAUAAAUAAAGAGAAAAUUAGACAUAGGAAGAGGAGAAGAGAGACAAUGGAGAAGAAUAAGAUGAAAGAGAGGGGGGAGUUGCAGGCAAGGGAGGAGAAAGAAACUGAACAGAGGAGGGGGAGUUUCAUUUUCUGUCGUGAGGAAGAAGAAGAAAAGUUUUAUAAAAAAAUUAAAAAAUUAAAAACUUACUUUUCAAAAAAAAAAAAUAUUAUUAAAAAAUUUAGUCCCAGUCCAAUCAAAUAUACACCAAACGUAGUACACGUAUUAUCCAACUUAUGCCAGGCCAAGCCAAUCCAAGACAGUUUCAAAAUUUAGUCCAGUCCAUGACAAUCCACCGUACCAAACGACCCCUGAAUGAAUAGAAAUCAGUUUCUAUACCUCCUCUCUAUCUCAAUUCUCUCUAAUUUCUCACUAGAUUUAUAACACGUUAUCACCACGAAGCUCUAACCAGCUGAGUUCUCUGAUAAAACCCAGAGACCAAAAUCAACCGGAAUUCUCAGCUCUCUCUGUCUCCUAUAUCUGUAGAGAUAUUCCCACUGAAGCCUCUGAACAUCGCCGAUGCUCAACUUCUCAAUCCCAAUCCUUGGAGGGGGCAUAUGGCUGAGCGGCAGAGCCAAAGAAAUAUCAAACACUUUCUCUGAUUUCAAAUUUCAAGUUUCCACAGAAAAAAAAAAGAAAAAAAAAAGAAAAAGCCACAUGAAGACUGUGCCUACUGCCUACCUCUUUCUCUCUGUCUCUCCCUCUCUCUCUCUUGAAGGUCUCUCAGUUCAUUUACUUCUCUGAGAGUAAAUUUCUGUUGGCAUAUUUCGAGGUCCAAAAUUGAUUGAAACACACUUUGAUGUCUAUGCCACUGGAGCAUGAUUACAUAGGCUUAACAGAGACUUCUUCAAUGGAAAGAAGCUCUGAAAAGAUUUCUUCUUCCUGGUCAGCCAUAACAGUCUCAGAGUACUCUAGCUCUAAGCUGAUCUUCAACAACAUCUCAGACCCAUUUGGGUUUGCAGUGAAGAGAAAGUCAGAUGGCCAAGUUCUUUUCAACUCGAGCUCUGAUCCUAAAGACCCAUAUGGUGAAUUGGUGUUUAAGGACCAGUACCUGGAGAUUUCGACGGUGUUUAAGGACCCGACCUCAGCUCAGUUGGUAGAGCAGCAGGACUGAAGAAGGAGGGAGGGACUUGGUGGUUUUCUUUUCGGGCCACGACCGAAAUGAUGAGCAGCACCCACCGAUAAAGAAUAGCACCCACCGAAAUGAUGAGCUUCCCACCAUCUUUUUCAAUUAUUUUUAUUCUAUAUUAUUUAAUAUUAAUAUUAAUGCAUGUUCUAAGGGCAGGUCAAAUGAAAACACAGUGACAAGCGUGAUACCUUACAGCAAAUUAGCACUAAGUUGCAGAUGGCCAUGCUUCUAUAAUAUAUAUAUAUAUAUGAAAAGUUGAUGGUAAUAUAAUAUACUAUAUUUAUCUGCCAUUCUAUUACUAACCUUUAACAAAAUGGACCCUCGGUAAUACUAAAUAUAUUAUCAGUGGGAGACCAUUAGUAAUACUAACACUUUUCUUAUAUUUUCAGUGGUGGUUUUUAUUCCCACAUUUAUUUUAUUUACUGUAUGGUGUAGGUUUAUUACCCAUACAACAGUAUUUAUUUAAAAGGGUGGUGCGGGUUUAUCGUCCACGCCUUUACUUUUAUUUAAAUGUAUGGAGCAGAAUUAGUGCCCAUACAAGCACGUUUACUUUACCGCAAAUUUACUUUUACUUAAAGUAUGAUGUGGAAUUGACCCUCAUACUUUAUGAAAUUACUUUACUGUACAUUAUUUACUGUAUGGUGUAGGUUUAUUACCCAUACAACAGUAUCUAUUUAAAAGGGUGGUGCGGGUUUAUCGUCCACGCCUUUACUUUUAUUUAAAAGUAUGGAGCAGAAUUAGUGCCCAUACAAGCACGUUUACUUUAUGAAUUUAAUUUACCGCACAUUUAAUUUUAUUUAAGGUAUGGUGCGGGAUUAACGUCCAUACAGCAAGCAAUUUAAUUUAUGAAUUUAUUUUACCGCACAUUUACAUUUAUUUAAAGUAUGUUGCGGGUUUAUCGUCCAUACCAGUAAUUUAUUUACCAGCAAUUUAUUUUAUGGAUUAAUUGUGCUGUAUGAUGAGUUUUUACAGUAAGCAGAUCAGGACCAGAAGUUCCUUGAUCCUCAUCAUACAAUUACAUCAGGACUUGAACAUCCUUGAUGAUGAUAUUAAUAUGAGAGCUGGCAGUCUCUCCGGUACUAUUUUUGUAAACAUGUGAUUGGACUUGAGGGUCCUUGAUCCCUGACAUGUAAAUAAGGACCUGGGGUUCCUUAAUGAUGUAACAGUACCGUAUUGGUUCAUAAUGCCGUACACAUGGAUGAUAACUGUACUGGCAAAUGUACUGUAAACAUGAAUAGAUACGUAUUCAUGACUUGAUGAAUAGUACCGGAUAUAUGAAUAGUGAUGUAUACAUAAAUAUUAACCAUUUUGGGUAAACCAUCACUAUUCAAAAAGGAACCUGCAGUUCCUUAAACUCAUGGAUGAGCAAUUAAAUGAGAUGCCAGAAGUUCCUCAAGAUAUGGACAAUUAUGUAAGGGCUUGAAGUCCAGAAAUAUGUACAGAAAAUUGUAAAAAUGUCCAUACCAUGAGAAUAUGUGAUUUUGGCUUGAGGUUCAAAAUCUAACAGUGUUGAGAACCUAAAGUUCCAACAAUUAAAUGGACAACCCUUGAGGUAUUAUUGCAAAUUGUGGUACGCCACAUAUUUCUUUGGCAUAAGAAGAUGAUGAAUUUAAUAAAGUUCGAUUUUGCUAUAAUCGACACCUCAAGGAAGAAAUAUAUUUUGUAAAUUCCGGUUGUUAAAAAUACACCGUGAAAUGGAUAAUAUCAGUAUAAACCUUAAAUGAUGAAUUGAGGCUCCCCACAUAUUUUGUUAUAUCUGGGCUGGAAGCUCAUGAACCCAAAUAUAUGAGAUAUUAGCGUGGUUUUACUCAAUCCAUAUUUCAUGUUCAUUUGAAAAGGGCGAAUAAAUUCUGAGUUUGUGUUUAGCCCAGGCCAAAAGUUCCGGGCUCCCAUACGUUGAAAUAUGAAAUUUGGGAGAGUCGAUGUGGUUAUUUGAACCUAUAAGGCACAAGGUUCCAAACCGUCAUUUUGAAAAGACGUAAAAACCACAGGUGCAAGUUUAAGAAUGUGCGCAAUUAUUAUAACAGGAACAUACAACAGAUAGAUUUUUUCCACCUGCAAUGAAAGUGCAGGCCCUACAAAAUCUAUAAAAUUACAUUAUGUUCUGGAAGCCUCUGAAGGAAGAGGACGACGCCUCUUAAGCUUAGCCAUGAGCCUCUCGUAGUCUCCUAAAAUUCUUUCAUUGGAGACCUGCAGCAUGUCUAGCCUUCUCAGUGUAUCAACAGAGUACGAACUCACCAGUUUCAACAAGGCAUUAUUCUCUCCUUUAAGUUUCUCAACCUCCUGUUGAGACUCAUGAAGCAUUCUUUGGAGAGACGAAUUUUCAGUUGUUAACUUCUGAACCUCGUUUGCUCUAGCAUGCAAACGAUCAGCCAUGUUAGAAACAGAAGCAGCACUCUGAAUGCUAGAAGCCAUUGAGUCAUCAAUAGCCUCUUCCUCAGACCUCCCUGUUAACAGCAUUUCAUCCAUUGGAGUAAUGAAAUUCCUAGCUACUAUGACAGUAGUAGCAUCAUUCAUCAUCACAGAAUCAUUAACUGUGAGAUGACGGUUUUUGGAUACAAAGGAUGGACGCCAAACUUUGGCGUCACUGGUUGUUGUGGGAGCAUCAUUUAAAUUGAAAUAAUUUGGGCAGGAAGAAGAGGAAGCCAUUUUUAAGAAGGUUUCAAAGAAAAGUCUUAAGAAAACUAAAGUUUCAGAAAAUGAAGGAAGUUAAGUUGAAACGCAGUUGCUCCAAUCAAGUUUUGCAAAGGCAAUAUCUAUAGGAGGAAAUAUGGCUACAGUUUUUCAGGAUCCCAAUAUCUUCUCGGAUCCCCAUAUUCUCUUUUUCUUUCCCAGAUUCCAAAACUCCACGCGGCCUCCAUUAAUGUUUGUCGGCACUUUCGGCGUCUUCAAGUAUUAUUUUCGUCAAAAGCCGAUCUUGCUUUGCGGAUUUCACGGAGCUAUUUUUUCAAAAGUACCCCGAGAAUCUCGCAAUUUUCCUAUGGUUAAUUUGAAAUUCACCGGUUCUACCUAUUCCUCUUAUUUGUGUAUAAAUGUGUUACUAACGAAAUUUUCUUUGCAGAAGACAUCCAGUUUUCUCCAUACCUAGUGAUGCGAUAUCUACUUAUUUUUCUUAUCAGUGAGCACUCAAUAUGCCCGAGAAAGCAAGACUAUCUCUGAUCAUCCAUUCAGGAAGCGAGACUAUCCCUGAUCACGUUUCCGCCACAUCAGGGAACUGUGAAGGCGACCUUAUGCUCUAAUCUCCGGAAGUUCUUCUAGACUAGAAGAAAUGAGAGCUUGUUGUUUGCUCCCACCAGCUUCCUUCCUUGAUUGCUGAGCUUGUUGUCUGCUCCCACCAGCUUCCUUCCCUGAUUGCUUACCUUCUCUUGCAAUCAAUAUCACAAUUUUUUUUGCAUUUUUUCUCUUUUUGUAACUCUCUGUUCAUAAGAGAUUUUAUUUCUUUAGAAUGAACAUCUGAAGAAAAAAUCCAUGAAGUGAUCCUAACUCUGAGGGUUAUUUGCUUUUGACAGAGAAAAGAGUUGUGAUUUUGCUCUUGCAGGAUAUGACUAGAUCAUCAAGCGCUACAUUAUAUUUACUGGGCCAAUACGAGCUUGAAUGAUACUUGAGAAAAGUUUCUCCCACCUAAGGAUGUAAGCAAUACUUGUGUUAUUUUAUGCUUAUAUACUUAUUUGAUAUUUUAUCUUGAAAGGUAACCAAAUGGGGAGAUAAGUCUGUUCCAAAAGAAUGGCUCGUAUGUAUCCAUGAAUUAUUAAUGCAAAUUUUACAGAUUGCAAGUUGGAUACAUUGAUAAUACACUGCACAGAUUAAAGUCCCAUAAGAACAGAAUAUGGGUAUAGCAGUGAUCAAUAUGAUGCACGCCUGUUGCGUAGCAAAUGAUGUGGAUUGAAGUCCCGAAAGGACAAUCCUUUGACAUGUCAAUAUUGAUAUUGUGCACGCUAAUGCGUAGCAAAUUGUAUGGGUUAAAGUCCCAGAAAUUAAUUGACAUGUAUGUAUUAAUCUGUGGCAUGCCUGCAGCAUGACAGAUAUAUGGGUUCUAAAUGUUCCAACUCCCUAAAUGGAGAUUUUCCACGCCCUAUGUAAAAUAACGCUCCAUUGGAGGUUAUAAUCCACAUUCUCACAUAAUAAAAGCCCCCUGAAGUGGCUUGGGUACCCAAAAGCAAAGAAAUGCUUAUAAUUGAUGCAUGCACGUGCAAAUGAGAAUGAUGGGAUCAUGAAUUGAUGAAUGACAAUUUUUGGUUUUGGAGUAGCUACUCAAAUCAUCAAUGGGCUGUGUUGAUUGGAACCACGUUCAGUUAUUAAAUGUCGACAAUAUCAUUGGCCAAAAUGGAAUGAGGUAAUUCCAUUAUAGAUGAGAAUGAACGUGAAAGAACAAACCCACAGUACGAAACCCAAAAGAUGUUAAUACUGAAAUUUAUACUUGGGUGUUUAGAAUAAAAGGGAAUAUAUCUACUUUGUAUGACACAAUGUUUCUGGCAGAAACAAGGAAUGUUGGGUUUUCUCCAUAUUUACAUAUUCAAUUGUGCCCCCUUUAUUGCACAUUUACAGAGACCAACAUGUUAUUUUUAAGGGUUAUUAAAUGCACGGAGCAUAUCGCCAGAAGCGAUUCCCUAAAGAUGUAUAAAUAGCUGGGUAAAAGCUAUAUAAUGUGUCACAAAAUUUAAUCCCCUUUAAACAAAAUCCUUGAAAGGGUUGAAAUUGCAUGAAGCAAGUCCCUGAAGGACAUGUGCCUGAAGCACAAAAUCUGUACUCAAUACUAAUGUGCAUAAAUUACCUCAGUGAGUACAUUGAUUAUAAUGUGUUUGCAACACAUUAAAACUUCUGAAGAAUUCACGAAAUAUUUGUCUCGACUUAAAGAUCGAGCAUUAUGCCAAUGAGAUUCUUGCUUAUACUAAGACAGUAUUGAAGUAUUUUUUUUUUAGGAUUAUCCGUUGGACACUUAAAUGUUUUUCCGGAAGUAUACUAGACUAGAUAGAGCUUAGCUCCAUCACCACCACUUUGAGAUGAUGUGAGGCAUAUUUAAUGCUAUCUAAGCACAACACUAUAUACGGGCAUAUUUUUGAGUGAACUUAUAAAUAGCCCAAGUGUUAUUAGAUAUGCGGACUCUGGAAAUCUCUAUGGUCGCUUACUGGAAAAAACUAGUCAUGAAGUUUUCAGGGGGAGAUAUUCAUAAAGGGGAGUGUGGUUUUAAUAAAGACCUCCAUACACUGUACUCUUUUUCCUUCAUCCAGGUUUUUAUCCCACUGGGUUUUUCCUGGUAAGGUUUUAACGAGGCAGUGUCGCUCAAGAUUGACUCAUAGAAGCAGUGUCAACUACGAUAUUCAGAAAGGUGAUCGACAGUAUGACUUAAAGAUAUUUUGCCAAGCAUCAGGGGGAGCGUGCUAUCAAUAAAGAUCUUCAAACACUGUACUCUUUUUCCUUCGUCUAGGUUUUUAUCCCACUGGGUUUUUCCUGGCAAGGUUUUAACGAGGCAGUGUCGCACGCGUGUCAAUAUAUAUAGAAUUUUAUGUUACACAUGAUUAUGUACUCUUUUUCUUUUUGACCAGUUUUUAUCCCACUGGGUUUUUAAUGGCAAGGUUUUUAACGAGGCAUAUUCCAUAUCAUUUGUGGUCUCCAAGGGGGAGUGUUGUAAAUAUAUAAGGUGGAGCCCACCUCCAUUAGAAGAUGCUUGCCUAUAAAUAAGGCUUCCCCCUACUUGUAAUACACACACACAUGAGAUUGGAAACAAACAUUGAAUGAAUAGAAAUCAGUUUCUAUACCUCCUCUCUAUCUCAAUUCUCU
rnacentral:lncRNA from 1 species